GACGAACGCUGGCGGCGUGCUUAACACAUGCAAGUCGAGCGAGGAAGUUUCCUUCGGGAAAUAACCUAGCGGCGGACGGGUGAGUAACACGUGGGUAACCUGCCUUAUAGAGGGGGAUAGCCUUCCGAAAGGAAGAUUAAUACCGCAUGAAAUCGUAGAAUGGCAUCAUUCAUCGAUCAAAGGAGUAAUCCGCUAUAAGAUGGACCCGCGGCGCAUUAGCUAGUUGGUGAGGUAACGGCUCACCAAGGCGACGAUGCGUAGCCGACCUGAGAGGGGGAGCGGCCACAUUGGGACUGAGACACGGCCCAGACUCCUACGGGAGGCAGCAGUGGGGAAUAUUGCACAAUGGGGGAAACCCUGAUGCAGCAACGCCGCGUGAGUGAUGAAGGUCUUCGGAUUGUAAAGCUCUGUCUUCAGGGACGAUAAUGACGGUACCUGAGGAGGAAGCCACGGCUAACUACGUGCCAGCAGCCGCCGUAA
rnacentral:rRNA from 1 species